rnacentral:RNase_P_RNA from 1 species
CCCGGGUAAGGAUGGAAAGGCGAGGUAAGAGCUCACCCGCGUACCGGUGACGGAUACGCGCUGUAAACCCCACCCGAUGCAAGUUCCGAUCAAGGGCAAUACGGCGGCCCGUCGUGCUCUUAAAGAGAACGCUGGAGCCGUGCGGCAACGUGCGGCGUAGAUAGAUGAUCGUCCAACGACAGAACUCGGCUUACGACCGUACCGGCAGC